UACGUAGGGUGCAAGCGUUAAUCGGAAUUACUGGGCGUAAAGCGUGCGCAGGCGGCUUUGCAAGACAGAUGUGAAAUCCCCGGGCUUAACCUGGGAACUGCAUUUGUGACUGCAUGGCUAGAGUGCGGCAGAGGGGGAUGGAAUUCCACGUGUAGCAGUGAAAUGCGUAGAGAUGUGGAGGAACACCGAUGGCGAAGGCAGCCUCCUGGGCCAGCACUGACGCUCAUGCACGAAAGCGUGGGGAGCAAACAGG
rnacentral:rRNA from 1 species